GGCGGAGGAGGUGGAGCUGAGCUAGAGUGGAGGUCACAUGGUUCCUGUAGACUGUGGAGCUCCACUCUGCAGAAAGAUCCUGAUAGAAGACUCUGGAAGAAGGACCUGUUUUGAUAACUCUCCCCAUAAUCUAUAUUCAAGAGAAGAAGUAACAACAUAAAAGUAUGACUGCAGCGUCGUCUGCCCGGCCAGCGUGUGAAGCUCUGACACUGUUCACCCUGAGGGCGAUCUACCCCUCCCGAGGCCGCCCCCUCCUGAUGUCAGAGCCGUCCGGAGCCACUAGAGUGAUCCUGCGACACGACACCGCCCAAAGAAUGGAGAGGAGGAGGGGGAGAGGCUCCGAACACAGACGCCUCCAGACAUAACGCCCCUUCUUCUAGCUCUGACACGCUGAGAGCCACGUCCUCCUCUGCACUAUACUGCCAGCAUGAGCUAAACUACAACUCCCAGCGUGAGCCAAACUACAACUCCCAGCGUGAGCCAAACUACAACUCCCAGCGUGAGCCAAACUACAACUCCCAGCAUGAGCCAAACUACAACUCCCAGCAUGAGCCAAACUACAACUCCCAGCAUGAGCAAAACUACAACUCCCAGCGUGAGCCAAACUACAACUCCCAGCAUGAGCCAAACUACUACUCCCAGCAUGAGCCAAACUACAACUCCCAGCAUGAGCCAAACUACAACUCCCAGCGUGAGCCAAACUACAACUCCCAGCGUGAGCCAAACUACAACUCCCAGCAUGAGCUAAACUACAACUCCCAGCAUGUUGGACUAUAUAGUAGUAUAUAGUAUAGGUCAGUGUUUCCCAACCAGAGUGCCUCCAGCUGUUA